rnacentral:rRNA from 1 species
AGAGUUUGAUCCUGGCUCAGAACGUACGCUGGCGGCACGCCUAACACAUGCAAGUCGAACGAAGUAGCAAUACUUAGUGGCAGACGGGUGAGUAACAUGUGGGUAUCUGCCCUUUGGCCUGGAAUAACACGAGGAAACUUGUGCUAAUACCGGAUAAGUCUUUACGGAGAAAGCUUUAUGCACCAUUGGAUGAGCCUGCACUUGAUUAGUUUGUUGGUGGGGUAAUGGCCUACCAAGACUGUGAUCAAUAGCUGAUUUGAGAGGAUGAUCAGCCACAUUGGGACUGAGACACGGCCCAAACUCCUACGGGAGGCAGCAGUGGGGAAUCUUGCACAAUGGAGGAAACUCUGAUGCAGCGAUGCCGCGUGAGUGAAGAAGGCCCUUGGGUUGUAAAGCUCUUUCGUCGGGGAAGAAAAUGACUGUACCCGAAUAAGAAGGUCCGGCUAACUUCGUGCCAGCAGCCGCGGUAAUACGAAGGGACCUAGCGUAGUUCGGAAUUACUGGGCUUAAAGAGUUCGUAGGUGGUUGAAAAAGUUAGUGGUGAAAUCCCAGAGCUUAACUCUGGAACUGCCAUUAAAACUUUUCAGCUAGAGUAUGAUAGAGGAAAGCAGAAUUUCUAGUGUAGAGGUGAAAUUCGUAGAUAUUAGAAAGAAUACCAAUUGCGAAGGCAGCUUUCUGGAUCAUUACUGACACUGAGGAACGAAAGCAUGGGUAGCGAAGAGGAUUAGAUACCCUCGUAGUCCAUGCCGUAAACGAUGUGUGUUAGACGUUGGAAAUUUAUUUUCAGUGUCGCAGCGAAAGCGAUAAACACACCGCCUGGGGAGUACGACCGCAAGGUUAAAACUCAAAUGAAUUGACGGGGACCCGCACAAGUAGUGGAGCAUGUGGUUUAAUUCGAAGAUACGCGCAGAACCUUACCAACACUUGACAUGUUCGUCGCGACUCUAAGAGAUUAGAGUUUUCGGUUCGGCCGGACGAAACACAGGUGCUGCAUGGCUGUCGUCAGCUCGUGUCGUGAGAUGUUGGGUUAAGUCCCGCAACGAGCGCAACCCUCACUUUUAGUUGCCAUCAUUAAGUUGGGCACUCUGAAAGAACUGCCAGUGAUAAGCUGGAGGAAGGUGGGGAUGACGUCAAGUCCUCAUGGCCCUUACGUGUUGGGCUACACACGUGCUACAAUGGUAUCUACAACAGGAAGCAAGACUGCGAAGUUAAGCAAAUCCCUAAAAGAUACCUCAGUUCGGAUUGCACUCUGCAACUCGAGUGCAUGAAGCUGGAAUUACUAGUAAUCGUGGAUCAGCGUGCCACGGUGAAUGCGUUCCCGGGUCUUGUACACACCGCCCGUCACACCAUGGGAGUUGGUUCUACCUUAAGGCAAGGUUUCAAACCCUUGACCACGGUAUAGUCAGCGACUGGGGUGAAGUCGUAACAAGGUAACC